rnacentral:misc_RNA from 1 species
CAGAGUCGCAAAACUCCCACAAACCAUCGCGAAUCUUACCCGUACGGUUGCCUCGGCGCUGGCGGUCCGGAAGGCCCUCGGGCCCCCGGAUCCUCGGGUCUCCCGCUCGCGGGAGGCUGCCCGCCGGAGUGCCGAAACUAAACUCUUGAUAUCUUAUGUCUCUCUGAGUACACUUUUAAAUAAGUCA